GGUUGGCUUAAUGGUAGAGCACUUGCCUAGCAUGUGUGAGGCCCUGGGUUCAAUUCUCAGCACCA
rnacentral:tRNA from 1 species